rnacentral:lncRNA from 1 species
GAUUUCUUGUGAUAUGUUUAUCAAUAAUGUUCUUUCUUUUAAUUGGAGCAAAAAAAUAGAUUUAAUUUGUCAAUGUACUAAUGUUGCAACUCUAAUUUGGAAUAGUUUCUUUUACUAAUGGUUUCUUGUUCGAUGAGCAUGAUUAAUGAAAUAGUUAUGAAGCAAACUUUCGUGCCAUCCUGUCCACUUUCUAAGUGGGGCACCUCUACCUAUCAAGCGGUUGGUUUUGUCAAUUUUAACCAUGAAACAAUUCUCAUCCAACUCAAAUUUGUUUUUUAUGGUCAAGUGUGGUGCUGUCCCCCCGUUGGUAGGCAGCCUAGCAUAUAUGUAGAGGGCCUCAUAAUUAUUGAAAGUAUAUAGAGGACCUCAUAGUAGUCUAUGGCCAAGCGUGGAAAUAGAUGGCCUCGUAGUGGUCAAUAUUAGUCUUCACCUCUUUGGCCAUUGUAGAUAAUAAUCGUUGCCAUCUUAUAUUAGUAACCCCUCUAUCUUUUGUCGAUGUUUAUCAAUAAGGGGUAGCAUCUUUUUUCCUCUAUGUUGGACUUAUUUUUGAAGUUGGCUUAUCUCAUAUCGACGUUUGGUAGGAUAGUGGCAAUAUUGUACAAAUAGCACCCCAUGAUUGGGUUAUAUUUUUUGGGAAAAAUUACACUCUAAAAAAUUCAAAAUUUAGAUUCAUAUAAAAGGGUAAGGUUUCCCUUUUACAAUCACUUUUCCUGUUGUAAAACUACUUGCUUUUUCG